rnacentral:lncRNA from 1 species
CCUGUGUCAGGGGUGUCUGUGACCUUCUGUGCGGUGCCUGCACCCCUGUGCUGGGCUCAGUGCAGUGCUUUGCUGUUCUUCAAGUGAAGAGUUCAGCUCAGAGAUCAGUUUGUCGUUAGUUAAGCAGAAUUUGACUUGCUGCCAUGAGAUUUCACUGGUAUGGGCUAUACCUCAGUGCCUUUUUGGCUGUUUCUGUCCUCUGAAAAGGACCAACAGCUGUAAUCGUGCAGUGACCUUGCUUACUUCAGAAAAAGCUGAGGAAAAUCUCCCAAUAGUAACAAACUGGGGAGGGGGGGAGUUGCAUACAUCACACCAGAGAUGCAGGUUCUUUUUGCAGAUGCACAGUUAAUUUUGACUGGGGGAGAGAGGGGGAAAUAAACAGGAAGGAUGUCUCUUCUCACUCUUAUCAGAGUGGGGGAAAAUGGAGUAUUUCUUCAUUUGUAGCUUAGUUGGCACUCCUGGAGGAUUUACUGAAGCAGAAAGAAUAAAAAUGCCGUUUGGUGAGCAGCAGCUGUCCAGAAGUGGAUGUGGUGGCUGCGGGGUCAGGCUGGUGGGUGCUGUCUGUGCUGUCUGUAGCACCCAGACCACCAGAAGCAUUCAGUAAUAGCUUCCUGGUGCUGACAUGGCUGCCAUCACAGUCUGUGCUCUCCAGCAACAUUCCCAAGGCAAGGCUUUCCCGCUAGUUGGCUGCGUUUGCUCCCAGCUCUGCUCUUCUCUCUGCUCCUCAGACACCAUCAUGACAGUGCGGCGCUACUCCACCGCAGCCUCGGCACCCUCCAGGCCUCACCGGGCCGGCAAGCGGCCCCCGAGCAGCGGGCAGCUGGAGGUGUGGAGCAGGGCCGAGCCGCACGCCUGCCCCGCUGCACAGCACACCAGUGACGGGGGCAGAGGCCUUGGGAAGAGCCCAGCCAACUGCUUCUCCAGCAGCAGUUCCAGCAAAAUGAGGCUGUUCCAGGAGCACGUCCGCAGGUGCAGGGGCAAAGUAAAGGCUGUUAGUUUCCUGUUACCAAUGGAUGUGUCAUAUGCUGAAAAUCAAAGUUCUUUCAAAAGCCCACAAAAUCAGGACACAAAACAGUUAAGUACCAUCACUGAAAAGGAUAUGUGA